GCAGCCUGCAACUCGGCUGCAUGAAGCUGGAAUCGCUAGUAAUCGCGGAUCAGAAUGCCGCGGUGAAUACGUUCCCGGGUCUUGUACACACCGCCCGUCACACCAUGGGAGUAGGUAAUGCCCGAAGUCGGUGACCUAACCGGAAGGAAGGAGCCGCCGAAGGCAGGACUUAUAACUGGGGUGAAGUCGUAACAAGGUACC
rnacentral:rRNA from 1 species